rnacentral:lncRNA from 1 species
CCAGAAGGUCACUAAAAGAACGGAACGUCCAUCUUUAUAUAUAUCUCUUCUGGUCUAAUUCAAGAAUAAAGAGGAGACAUUUUUUGAGCUAGUAAUAACAAGAUUUUGAAUUAUUUAAAAUAUUAUCUCAAAAGAAAUUUGUCUUUCAUGCCUGUUGCUGUUGUUCAUCUUGAAAUUCACCACCAAAUCAUCAAUAUUUCAAC